GGUCGCGUGGCGAAAUGGAUACCGCGUUAGACUUCGGAUCUAAAGAUUGCGGGUUCGAGUCCCGCCGUGAUCG